CAGCGUAGUGGCUGGCUGCACGUUUUCGGUUGUGCAGGCGAAUGGGGCAGUCCCGUAGGAACGAGAAGCUUCGAAACACGGCGCUGUUGGUGGUGUCUGCAGUGACUAAAAGCCGUCUUUAUGCUUACAGCACACUGUUCGUGAUUUAUGCAAAACACCAGUGUGUAAAGGAGCCUAGGAGAUUUGCUGGGGGCGUCUGAACACCGCAGAAACUUUUGGUUAAAGAAAUACCCCAAAGUCAGUUCUGCUGAGCACUUCAGAAGAAGCCCGAAACCCCAGCAGGUCACCCCUUUCAAAGCAGCAAGUACGACUGUCUACAUGCCACCAAAACGCAAGAGCGAACUCAAGCGUAAAGACACACAGUCGGCACGACCUCUGCUUGUGAGUCACCCACUCUGUGCUGCACGACGUGACCGAGCCUGAGAUAUUUUAUGUCAAUGUAACGUUUCUUAUGAAACACAUAGAGAUUCCCUGCCAUCGAGAGAUUCAGCGUACCCACAGCGUUUUCAUGGUUCUCUGCUCAGAUUAAUCGCAGGAGGCUGGCCAUGGACGUGGGAUGAUAGAUCGGUUCUUUCCGUACCCCAAAGUUUACUCGGACUUGCAUUGAUUCAUCCCUGUCUUCUCUGCUGAGACUGCAGUUGCUUAGGGAUGCUCAUGUGUCCUAGGUGUCAAGCAAUCCUGGAAUCAGGGACCUCAAGUCAUGUUUAUUUACACGUUGACGUUACUGGACGUAUGUUCUGGCAAAGUAACCACAGACAAACUUCUCAUGGAGAUCAGCUGGGACCUCAUGGCAGAAAUCGCAUUUAAGACAACUGGAAAUGACUUCACCUUGGCCCAAGUCAGAGCAUAACAGCCGCCGCCUCCUCCUCCUUCUGUGCUUCAGAUGCUUCUAAAGGCACUUUUGAACGUAACUUCUGCAACCUGUUGACAUUUCCUUACCGUGUGUUCCAGACUUCUGUACCAGUAUUUUCUCAGUUUCCGUUCUGAACACAUGCGUGAUGUAAGUAAUCCAAUUUUCAAAACCAAGUGCAGUGAGUAUUUUAAAAUACAUUUCUCAUUAUCCAACUCUAUGAUAAGAUUCUUAUACAAGCUUUUGGAUUGUAUGGU